GAUGAACGCUGGCGGCGUGCCUAAUACAUGCAAGUCGAGCGAACGGACGAGAAGCUUGCUUCUCUGAUGUUAGCGGCGGACGGGUGAGUAACACGUGGAUAACCUACCUAUAAGACUGGGAUAACUUCGGGAAACCGGAGCUAAUACCGGAUAAUAUUUUGAACCGCAUGGUUCAAAAGUGAAAGACGGUCUUGCUGUCACUUAUAGAUGGAUCCGCGCUGCAUUAGCUAGUUGGUAAGGUAACGGCUUACCAAGGCAACGAUGCAUAGCCGACCUGAGGGGGUGAUCGGCCACACUGGAACUGAGACACGGUCCAGACUCCUACGGGAGGCAGCAGUAGGGAAUCUUCCGCAAUGGGCGAAAGCCUGACGGAGCAACGCCGCGUGAGUGAUGAAGGUCUUCGGAUCGUAAAACUCUGUUAUUAGGGAAGAACAUAUGUGUAAGUAACUGUGCACAUCUUGACGGUACCUAAUCAGAAAGCCACGGCUAACUACGUGCCAGCAGCCGCGGUAAUACGUAGGUGGCAAGCGUUAUCCGGAAUUAUUGGGCGUAAAGCGCGCGUAGGCGGUUUUUUAAGUCUGAUGUGAAAGCCCACGGCUCAACCGUGGAGGGUCAUUGGAAACUGGAAAACUUGAGUGCAGAAGAGGAAAGUGGAAUUCCAUGUGUAGCGGUGAAAUGCGCAGAGAUAUGGAGGAACACCAGUGGCGAAGGCGACUUUCUGGUCUGUAACUGACGCUGAUGUGCGAAAGCGUGGGGAUCAAACAGGAUUAGAUACCCUGGUAGUCCACGCCGUAAACGAUGAGUGCUAAGUGUUAGGGGGUUUCCGCCCCUUAGUGCUGCAGCUAACGCAUUAAGCACUCCGCCUGGGGAGUACGACCGCAAGGUUGAAACUCAAAGGAAUUGACGGGGACCCGCACAAGCGGUGGAGCAUGUGGUUUAAUUCGAAGCAACGCGAAGAACCUUACCAAAUCUUGACAUCCUUUGACAACUCUAGAGAUGGAGCUUUCCCCUUCGGGGGACAAAGUGACAGGUGGUGCAUGGUUGUCGUCAGCUCGUGUCGUGAGAUGUUGGGUUAAGUCCCGCAACGAGCGCAACCCUUAAGCUUAGUUGCCAUCAUUAAGUUGGGCACUCUAAGUUGACUGCCGGUGACAAACCGGAGGAAGGUGGGGAUGACGUCAAAUCAUCAUGCCCCUUAUGAUUUGGGCUACACACGUGCUACAAUGGACAAUACAAAGGGCAGCGAAACCGCGAGGUCAAGCAAAUCCCAUAAAGUUGUUCUCAGUUCGGAUUGUAGUCUGCAACUCGACUACAUGAAGCUGGAAUCGCUAGUAAUCGUAGAUCAGCAUGCUACGGUGAAUACGUUCCCGGGUCU
rnacentral:rRNA from 1 species